rnacentral:rRNA from 1 species
AAGUCGUAACAAGGUCUCCGUAGGUGAACCUGCGGAGGGAUCAUUACUGAGUUUUCAACUCUCCAAACCAUGUGAACUUACCACUGUUGCCUCGGUGGUUCGGGUCCUCGCGGGCCUGGCCACCGGCGGACUACCAAACUCUUGUUAAUUUUUGGCAUUCUGAAUACAAACUAAGAAAUAAGUUAAAACUUUCAACAACGGAUCUCUUGGUUCUGGCAUCGAUGAAGAACGCAGCGAAAUGCGAUAAGUAAUGUGAAUUGCAGAAUUCAGUGAAUCAUCGAAUCUUUGAACGCACAUUGCGCCCAUUAGUAUUCUAGUGGGCAUGCCUGUUCGAGCGUCAUUUCAACCCUUAAGCCUAGCUUAGUGUUGGGAGACUGCCUAAUACGCAGCUCCUCAAAACCAGUGGCGGAGUCUGUUCGUGCUCUGAGCGUAGUAAUUGUUUAUCUCGCUUCUGCAAGCCGGCCAGGCGACAGCCAUGAACCGCACCCCCAGGGGGCACUUUUUUAAUGGUUGACCUCGGAUCAGGUAGGAAUACCCGCUGAACUUAA